rnacentral:lncRNA from 1 species
CGAGCUUCCACUUACAUUAGGAUCUGGUAAUACACAAGUGACGGAGAUCACGCCAUUCCAAGCGGUUAAUACCCCAAUGGCCUACAACAUCAUCCUGGGAAGACCCCUACUGAACAAGAUCCAGGCUAUUGUAUCAACUUUCCACCUUGCCAUGAAAUUUCCCAUGGGUCAUGGCAUCGGAGUAGUUCGAGGAGACCAAACAGCUGCCAGACAGUGCUAUGUUACUAGCAUCCGAGGAAUGAAUAAAGAC